CAUGGAUAGUAGAUUGUAUGGAGCCUUGAGUGUCAGCAGGAGCCAAGCUGGAAGGCAGCUGUUAUGUAGGAAUAAAGCGGAGAGAGACCAUGAGUGGUGAAAGUCACAAGAAAAAUAUUCUGGGCUUUUCGGAAGAUCGAGAUGGUCCUAUUUUCUCAGAAAGACUCAACAUUGCUUGAGGAGCUACCCAGUCUCCAUCCCCAUCCAAUGACAUCUCUAUGGUCUCUUUGCAACAUGGCGGCCAGAAUGAUUCUCCAUGUAGGUAAGUCAGAUCAUCUCCCACUUCAAGCAGAGCUAAAGCCCUCAUAAUGUCCUACAAGGUCCUUCCCACAUGAUCUGCUUCCCUGCCUUCACCAGCCACAGUUGCUUCUUGGCCUCAUCUCCAACCACUCUCUCUCACUCCAAUCUUGUCACUGAAGCCGCAUUGGUGUUCUUCUAACAUACCAGGAACACUCCCACGUUAGGAGCUGGGCCCUUGCUAUUCCCUCUGAAAAGAGGCUACUCCCCAGAGGUCUGAAUGGCUUCCUCCUUGGCCUUCUUGAGGUCUUUGCUCAAAGGUGACUUCUGACGGGAAUCUUCCUUAACCACCAUUUCCAGCUCCCUUGCCAUGCACAGACUCCCACCCUACUUACCUGCCUUAUCUCUCUCCAUAGCACUUCCUAGAACCUGACACAUCAUAUAGUUGACUCAUUUGUUUGUCUACAUACAAGCUCCAGGAAAGUGAGAAUAUUUUUUUGUUUUGUCCACUGCUGCAUUCCUAGCAACUAGGACAGGGCCUCAC